rnacentral:rRNA from 1 species
AGCGCAGGCGGUGACUUAAGUCUGAUGUGAAAGCCCACGGCUCAACCGUGGAAGGUCAUUGGAAACUGGGUCACUUGAAUAUAGAAGAGGAAAGUGGAAUUCCAUGUGUAGCGGUGAAAUGCGUAGAUAUAUGGGGGGAACACCAGUGGCGAAGGCGACUUUCUGGUCUAUUAUUGACGCUGAGGCUCGAAAGCAUGGGUAGUAAACAG